AUCCGAUAAUUACCUUAGAGGUGAUAUCAGGUUAAGUCAGGUCUAUUGGAGGCUUAGAUUGCUCCCCAGUUUGAGCAAUAGAAACAGGGCAAAACUUGUGCCGUAUCUACUCUGUAUCGAGUUUAGCUUGGUGUGGAUUGAUUAAAAAUUUAUAAAUCAAUUAAUCAAGCUAAAUCCAUCCAUGCUUCGAGAAGUUCAUCAGUUCUUGUUGCGGCC
rnacentral:lncRNA from 1 species